rnacentral:rRNA from 1 species
GCUGAUCCUGCUGGAGGAUACUGCUUUCAGAAUUCUACUUAGCCAUGCAAGUCAAAUGUUCUUUAAGGACAUUGGCGAACGGCUCAGUAACACGUAGUUAACCUACCCCUAGGACGGGUAAAGCCCGGGAAACUGGGGAUGAUGCCCGAUAGGUAAUGAGAUCUGGAAUGACUUAUUGCCCAAAUGGAAGCUUGCAACUGCCUAAGGAUGGGACUGCGACAGAUUAGGCUGUUGGUGAGGUAAUGGCUCACCAAACCUAAGAUCUGUACGGGCUUUGGGAGAAGUAGCCCGGAGAAGGACACUGAGAUAAGGGUCCUAGCCCUACGGGGUGCAGCAGUCGAGAAACCUCUACAAUGCGCGAAAGCGUGAUAGGGGAAUUCUGAGCGCCAUUGCUUUUUGUAAUGGCUUUUGUCAAGUUUAGAAAGCUUGGCGAAUAAGUGGUGGGUAAGAUGCGUGCCAGCCGCCGCGGUAAUACGUACACCACUAGUGGUAUCCACGAAUAUUGGGCCUAAGGCGUCUGUAGCCUGUUUGGUAAGUCUUUAGUGAAAUCGGUCAGCUUAACUGGUCGAAUUGCUAAAGAUACUGCUAUGACUUGAGGCCGGGAGAGGUAGAGGGAAUUUCCGAGGUAGCGGUGAAAUGCUAUAAUCUUGGAAGGACCACCAGUAGCGAAGGCGCUCUACCAGAACGGGCCUGACGGUGAGAGACGAAAGCUAGGGGAGCGACCCGGAUUAGAUACCCGGUUAGUCCUAGCCGUCAACGCUGUGGACUAGGUGUUCCUGCAACUACGAGUUGUUGGAGUGCCGAAGCGAAGGCGUUAAGUCCACCGCCUGGGAAGUACGAUCGCAAGGUUGAAACUUGAGGGAAUUGGCGGGAACGCACUACAAGGGGUGGAUGCUGCUGUUCAAUUAAAUAUAACGCUCGGAAACUCACCAGGGCUGAUAGCAUAGUGAUGGACAGUCUGAAGGGCUUUCUUGAAGCGCUUAAAGGUGUUGUAUGGCCAUCGUCAGCUCGUACUGUGAAGCGUUCUGUCAACUCAGAUAACGGGCGAGACCCACAUCAUUAGUUGCUACUUUCCUCUCCGGAGGGGGGGCACUCUAGUGAGACUGCCGAGGCAACUUGGAGGAAGGAGUGGGCUACGGUAGGUCUGUAUGGCCCUAAAGUUCUGGGCUACAAACGGCAUACAAUGGUUGUGACAAUGAGUUCCGACACCGAAAGGUGAAGGUAAUCCCCUAAACGCAACCGUGUUUGGAUUGAGGGCUGGAACCCGCUCUCAUGAAACUGGAAUCCCCAGUAAUCGCGUGUCAUCAUCACGCGGUGAAAACGUCCCUGCGUUUUGCACACACCGCCCAUCAAGCCAGCCGAGUGAGGUUUUGGUGAGGCUCCUUCCCUAGGAGGGAGUCAAUCCUGUGUCUCGCGAGGGGGGCUAAGUUGUAACAAGGUG